UAAGACGCGAAAGCUAGGGGAGAGAACGGGAUUAGAAACCCCCGGUAUUCCCUAGCCCGUAAACGAUGUCAACUAGGUGUAGGGGGUAUCCCAACCCCCCCUGUGCCUGUAGCUAACGCGUUAAGUUGACCGCCUGGGGACUACGGCCGCAAGGCUAAAACUCAAAGGAAUUGACGGGGACCCGCACAAGCAGCGGAGCGUGUGGUUUAAUUCGAGGCUACGCGAAGAACCUUACCAGGGUUUGACAUGGCGGUGGUAGGAAUGCGAAAGCUGACCGACCCUUCGGGGAGCCGUCACAGGUGCUGCAUGGCUGUCGUCAGCUCGUGCCGUGAGGUGUUAGGUUAAGUCCUGUAACGAGCGCAACCCUCGUCGCUAGUUAUACGUGUCUAGCGAGACUGCCGGUGAUAAGCCGGAGGAAGGUGAGGAUGACGUCAAGUCAGCAUGGCCUUUAUAUCCCUGGGCUACACACACGCUACAAUGGCCGGUACAAUGGGUUGCCAAGCCGUGAGGCGGAGCCAAU
rnacentral:rRNA from 1 species